UGGCUAGUAGCUCAGUCGGUAGAGCAAAUGACUGUUAAUCAUUGGGUCGUAGGUUCGAGUCCUACCUAGCCAGCCA
rnacentral:tRNA from 1 species